UACGUAGGGUGCGAGCGUUGUCCGGAAUUACUGGGCGUAAAGAGCUCGUAGGUGGUUUGUCGCGUUGUCCGUGAAAACUCACAACUCAAUUGUGGGCGUGCGGGCGAUACGGGCAGACUGGAGUACUGCAGGGGAGACUGGAAUUCCUGGUGUAGCGGUGGAAUGCGCAGAUAUCAGGAGGAACACCGGUGGCGAAGGCGGGUCUCUGAGCAGUAACUGACGCUGAGGAGCGAAAGCGUGGGGAGCGAACAGG
rnacentral:rRNA from 1 species